AUUGAACGCUGGCGGCAUGCUUUACACAUGCAAGUCGAACGGUAACAGGCCGCAAGGUGCUGACGAGUGGCGAACGGGUGAGUAAUGCAUCGGAACGUGCCCAGUCGUGGGGGAUAACGCAGCGAAAGCUGCGCUAAUACCGCAUACGAUCUAUGGAUGAAAGCGGGGGACCGUAAGGCCUCGCGCCAUUGGAGCGGCCGAUGUCAGAUUAGGUAGUUGGUGGGGUAAAGGCUAACCAAGCCAACGAUCUGUAGCUGGUCUGAGAGGACGACCAGCCACUCUGGGACUGAGACACGGCCCAGACUCCUACGGGAGGCAGCAGUGGGGAAUUUUGGACAAUGGGCGCAAGCCUGAUCCAGCAAUGCCGCGUGCAGGAAGAAGGCCUUCGGGUUGUAAACUGCUUUUGUACGGAACGAAAAGGCUCUGGAUAAUACCUGGGGCUCAUGACGGUACCGUAAGAAUAAGCACCGGCUAACUACGUGCCAGCCGCCGCUGUAACAC
rnacentral:rRNA from 1 species